rnacentral:rRNA from 1 species
CCUACGGGAGGCAGCAGUGGGGAAUAUUGGACAAUGGGGGGAACCCUGAUCCAGCGACGCCGCGUGAGUGAAGAAGUACUUCGGUAUGUAAAGCUCUAUCAGCAGGGAAGAAAAUGACGGUACCUGACUAAGAAGCCCCGGCUAACUACGUGCCAGCAGCCGCGGGAAUACGCAGGGGGCAAGCGUUCUCCGGAUUUACUGGGUGUAACGGGAGCGUAGACGGUGCAGCAAGUCUGAUGUGAAAGCUCGGGGCCCAACCCCGGGACUGCAUUGGAAACUGUUCAAUUGGAGUACAGGAGAGGUAAGCAGAAUUCCUGGUGUAGCGGUGAAAUGCGUAGAUAUUAGGAGGAACACCGGUGGCGAAGGCGGCUAACUGGACUGUAACUGACGUUGAGGCGCGAAAGCGUGGGGAGCAAACAGGAUUAGAUACCCCUGUAGUC